UGGGGAAUUUUGGACAAUGGGCAAAAGCCUGAUCCAGCAAUGCCGCGUGUGUGAAGAAGGCCUUCGGGUUGUAAAGCACUUUUGUCCGGAAAGAAAUCCUUGGCUCUAAUACAGCCGGGGGAUGACGGUACCGGAAGAAUAAGCACCGGCUAACUACGUGCCAGCAGCCGCGGUAAUACGUAGGGUGCAAGCGUUAAUCGGAAUUACUGGGCGUAAAGCGUGCGCAGGCGGUUUGCUAAGACCGAUGUGAAAUCCCCGGGCUCAACCUGGGAACUGCAUUGGUGACUGGCAGGCUAGAGUAUGGCAGAGGGGGGUAGAAUUCCACGUGUAGCAGUGAAAUGCGUAGAGAUGUGGAGGAAUACCGAUGGCGAAGGCAGCCCCCUGGGCCAAUACUGACGCUCAUGCACGAAAGCGUGGGGAGCAAACAGGAUUAGAUACCCUGGUAGUCCACGCCCUAAACGAUGUCAACUAGUUGUUGGGGAUUCAUUUCCUUAGUAACGUAGCUAACGCGUGAAGUUGACCGCCUGGGGAGUACGGUCGCAAGAUUAAAACUUAAAGGAAUUGAC
rnacentral:rRNA from 1 species